rnacentral:rRNA from 1 species
GUAGGUGGCAGCGUUGUCCGGAAUUAUUGGGCGUAAAGCGCGCGCAGGCGGUUCUUUAAGUCUGAUGUGAAAGCCCACGGGCUCAACCGUGGAGGGUCAUUGGAAACUGGAGAACUUGAGUACAGAAGAGGAAAGCGGAAUUCCACGUGUAGCGGUGAAAUGCGUAGAGAUGUGGAGGAACACCAGUGGCGAAGGCGGCUUUCUGGUCUGUAACUGACGCUGAGGCGCGAAAGCGUGGGGAGCAAACAGGAUUAGAUACCCUGGUAGUCCACGCCGUAAACGAUGAGUGCUAAGUGUUAGGGGGUUUCCGCCCCUUAGUGCUGCAGCUAACGCAUUAAGCACUCCGCCUGGGGAGUACGACCGCAAGGUUG